ACCUCACCCCAAACUCGUUUCCCCUCCUACCGCUCCAGGGGCAUGCGUCCGUGGCUACCGCCAACCACAGUGAGGUGAGCUGCAGCAAGGCGAACCGAACCGCAGUACUGCAGACUCCAGCUUCCAGCAGGCGGCAGCUGGCUCUCCCGUCUUCUACUCCUCUAAGCCCAGCACCGAGGAGCACAGCCGACAGACACAGAAAAGCCUAGAAUGGAGUGCCUGCCCAACAGAGCCAUUUAUAUACUGAGGUUAUGCACAGAGGUUCCUGAACUACACAGUCUCAUUGGAUGAAAACAAGUCUGAGGCCAGCCAAUCAGAGCAUGAAAAUAAAACCCAAUCAGAGUAGGCCUAAAGGUUUCCUCUCAUCCAAUCAGAACAUGUAGUCCAGGAACCAUGGGCAAAACCUCAGUAUAUAAGGCAUGCUGAGGCUGCCUCACGCUGUUCCAGGCUCUUGUGUAUCUUCUAGCGGAGCCACUGUGUUCACGGCUUAGAGGAACAGGAGAAGGGGCGGCAGAGCCACCUACUGCACGCUGGAGGCUGCAGCCUGCUGUACCGCGGCUGGCCUCGCUGCAGUGGGUGGUGGUGACGGAAACUGCAGCGGCUGGAGCGGUACCUGGCCAAUGACGUGGAGGAGGUUGAUGAGGCCCCCAAACAAGCCAUCUUCCACUUCCUGUAUGGGAAGAACCGCUUCCAGUGACCCUUGUUCCAGAAGCUUCGGUUCCAGUUCUUCUGUUCCAUGCACUGGAGAGCUUGUGUUUCCCCAGAGGAGUUGGAGAAGAUCCAGGCUUAUGACCCAGAGAACUGGGUGUGGGUAUGAGACCACGCCCUCCUUUCCUAGAGCUCCAGGGACCAUGGAGGCCUGAGGUCAUCAGCCUGAGGGAAGAACACUGGACCCAGGGAAGAUGUGGAUUUUCAGCAGGAAGUUUAUUCCAAUGUUAAUGGCAGACACCAGGAAGGAAGAGAGGAACCAUUUGUGCAGAUCAUCUGGAAGAACCUAGAAGAACCUGGACUGUUCUAGAAGGAGCCGAAUAGAGUGAUUAUGCUGCCCUCCUAGGAGUGGUGGGUAGGGGGUACUUCUGGGCAUCCUUGGAGGACAGUGAGAAACCAGCGGUGUUUCUUGUUCCACCCCUUCCUGCAGCACCACCUCCCUUUUUAGAUUGCUGAAUUCUACCUCCCUGGGGUGGAACCUGGAGGUCCUGCUUCCUAUGGACUUGGUUGCCACAGUCCGGGAGCAUUUGAAGGCACAGUGCAGGUGCUCAGAUUGGCACAGAAUUAUUUGUAAAAUAUGAGUGCCACAGGAUUGUAACAGAUAGCUUCAUGCAUACUAUGCAUUUUGUUGGUUUGUUUGGAAAACGUCGGCCAUUGAAUUAUUAGUACAUUUAUUUCAGAUAGUUUGGAAAUUUUUAUACUUUUGAAGACAUGCUGCUCCUGUAGAGAUUUUUGAUGACAGUUAUAGCUGUUACAUAUACAUAAAUAUAAUUUUCUUUCCAUUUUUAAGAAGGUAUUUUGUUUAUCCUAAAUCUUUUAUUAUCUGUUAUUAUAUGUGCUCCUGAAGUGAACACUCUUUUUAUCUAUGAUGCUUAUGUAAUCUAUUAUAUCAUAUCUAUGUGGUAGUUCUCGUAAAUUCUUGUACUAGGAAUUUUUAUUUGCUGUUUCAUGUUUGUUACUGAAUUGUGAGAAUCCAGUUGUGAUUUUUAACAUAUCUUAGGUAUAUGUUAAUAGGUCUAAUAUAUACUAUACAUUUUAUUGGUUUAUUUUGAAAAAGGUGGGCAUAGAAUUCUUUUUUUUUUUUUUUUUUUUUUUUUUUUUUGAGAUGGAGUUUCGCUCUGGUUACCCAAGCUGGAGUGCAAUGGUGCGAUCUCGGCUCACUGCAACCUCCACCUCCUGGGUUCAGGCAAUUCUCCUGCCUCAGCCUCCCGAGUAGCCGGGAUUACAGGCACACGCCACCAUGCCCAGCUAAUUUUUUGUAUUUUUAGUAGAGAUGGGGUUUCACCAUGUUGACCAGGAUGGUCUCGAUCUCCUGACCUCGUGAUCCACCCACCUCGGCCUCCCAAAGUGCUGGGAUUAUAGGCUUGAGCCACUGCACCCAGCCCCUAGAAUUCUUACUGUAUUUAUUUUAAAUAGUUUGGAAAUCCUGGUAUUUUGAAAAGACAUUGUUCCUAUAGAGUUGUGUGAUGAGUGUUAUAGCUGUUAUAUACACAUAAAUAUAAUUUUGUUUUUCUUUUAAGAGAGGAUUAUUUUUAUCCUAAGUAUUUUAUCUUUAAAUCUUUGUAUGUAUUA
rnacentral:lncRNA from 1 species